rnacentral:pre_miRNA from 1 species
GUAAUAUUCCUCCGUCCAACAAAAGAUGUCUCAACUUUGACUAAAUUUGAAUGUAUCUAUACACUAAGUCAUGUCUAGAUACAUCCAAAUUUUGACAAAUUUGAGACAUCUUUUGUUGGACGGAGGGAGUAUUAU